rnacentral:lncRNA from 1 species
GCUGCUCCCGCUCGGCCAGAUGGUAUUAUAAUGGAAUGGCAGCUGAGAAGAUGAGACUAUGAGUGAAGAGUGUGUCUUGGAGAUUGCAUGCAGUUCAUUUUCCUGGGUCAAAAGUGGAUUGGUUUGAGAACAAUAAUUAUGAGGCUGACGUGUAUGUUCUCCUUCAUCUUGCUGUUUGGAGCAGCGGGACUUGUCGUCUUCAUUCAUCUGCAGGAUCCAGAAGACAUAGUUCAUCAGCAGACACCAGGUAGUUACUAUGUAGCAGAAUGCAUUUACAAUCUCAUCUGCAAUGCUGUGUGA